GGAGUGUAGGCGUUGAGGAUGGCAGGCAAAUCCACCGUCCGAGCUGAACUUGAGAGUAUGGAGUCUUCUUCGGAAGAAUCCAAUAGUGUGGGUAAUCAUACUCCCGAGAAAAUCCGCUAAGCUUAACCCAUGCGGCACCCGUACCGCAAACGGACACACGUGGUCGGGUAGAACAUACUGAGGCGUUGAGAGAUUCAUGGUUAAGGAACUAGGCAAAUUGACCCUGUAACUUCGGGAUAAAGGGUCCUCGUGAAUAGCGAGGCGCAGAGAAUAGGUCCAGGCAACUGUUUAACAAAAACACAGGGCUGUGCAAACUCGAAAGAUGACGUAUACAGCCUGACACCUGCCCGGUGCCGGAAGGUUAAGAGGAGAUGUCACUCGCAAGAGGAAGCAUUGAAUUGAAGCCCCGGUAAACGGCGGCCGUAACGAUAACGGUCCUAAGGUAGCGAAAUUCCUUGUCGGGUAAGUUCCGACCUGCACGAAUGGUGUAAUGAUCCGGACGCUGUCUCAACCAUGAGCUCAGUGAAAUUGUAGUAUCGGUGAAGAUGCCGAUUACCCGCGAUGGGACGAAAAGACCCCGUGAACCUUUACUACAGCUUAGCAUUGACCUUGGUCAUCCGAUGUGUAGGAUAGGCCGGAGGCUUCGAAGCGGGAGCGCCAGCUUUCGUGGAGCCAUCCUUGAAAUACGGCCCUUUGGCUGUCUGAGGUCUAACGCGCGAUGCGCGGACACUGCUUGGUGGGUAGUUUGACUGGGGUGGUCGCCUCCAAAAGCGUAACGGAGGCUUCCAAAGGUGCCCUCGGGUCGAUUGGUAACCGACCUCAAAGAGUGCAAUGGCAUAAGGGCGCUUGACUGGGAGGCAGACAUGCCGAGCAGGCAGGAAACUGGGGCAUAGUGAUCCGGCGGAUGUGUAUGGAAACUCCGUCGCUCAAAGGAUAAAAGGUACUCCGGGGAUAACGGGCUGAUUCCCCCCAAGAGCUCAUAUCGACGGGGUGGUUUGGCACCUCGAUGUCGGCUCGUCACAUCCUGGGGCUGGAGAAGGUCCCAAGGGUUGGGCUGUUCGCCCAUUAAAGUGGCACGCGAGCUGGGUUCGGAACGUCGUGAGACAGUUCGGUCUCUAUCUAUCGUGGGCGUGGGAGUUUUGCGUGGUGCCGUCACUAGUACGAGAGGACCGUGAUGGACAGACCUCCGGUUUACCAGUUGUGCCGCCAGGCGCACCGCUGGGUAUCUGAGUCUGGAUUGGAUAAGCGCUGAAAGCAUCUAAGUGCGAAGCCAGCCGCAAGAUGAGAACUCCAUUGAGGGUCGUCAGAGACGAUGACGUUGAUAGGAUGCAGGUGUAAAGACAGCGAUGUCAAAGCCGAGCAUUACUAAUUGCCC
rnacentral:rRNA from 1 species